rnacentral:rRNA from 1 species
GAGAGGGGCCCGCGUUCGAUUAGCUAGUUGGUGGGGUAACGGCCUACCAAGGCGACGAUCGAUAGCUGGUCUAAGAGGAUGAUCAGCCAGACUGGGACUGCGACACGGCCCAGACUCCUACGGGAGGCAGCAGUUAGGAAUUUUGGGCAAUGGGCGAAAGCCUGACCCAGCAACGCCGCGUGGGUGAUGAAGGCCUUCGGGUCGUAAAGCCCUUUUUCAGGGGAAGAUAAUGACGGUACCCUGAGAAUAAGCCCCGGCUAACUACGUGCCAGCAGCCGCGGUAAUACGUAGGGGGCAAGCGUUGUCCGGAUUUAUUGGGCGUAAAGCGCGCGUAGGCGGCGCGGUAUGUCGUGCGUGAAAUCUCCCGGCUUAACUGGGAGGGGCCGUGCGAAACUGCCGGGCUUGAGGUCGGAAGGGGAAAGUGGAAUUCCGGGUGUAGUGGUGGAAUACGUAGAUAUCCGGAGGAACACCAGCGGCGAAAGGCGGCUUUCUGGUCCGAUACUGACGCUGAGGUGCGAAAGCGUGGGGAGCGAUCCGGAUUAGAUACCCGGGUAGUCCACGCCGUAAACGAUGAGUACUAGGUGUCGGGGGUAUCGACCCCUCGGUGCCGUCGCUAACGCAUUAAGCACCCCCGCCUGGGGAGUACGGCCCGCAAGGCUAAACCUCAAAUGAAUUGACG